rnacentral:rRNA from 1 species
AUGGACAACUGGGGACAUGGCAUCACAAGACAUAAAUUUCCUGAACUUUACUCCUUUGCAAUCCAAGAUACUUUGAGCAUUCAGGAGUUUUUGCAGCAGGCAAACAUAAGUGAUAAUUUCUUCCUCCCACUCUCAGCUCAAGCACACAACCAGUUCACUGAACUUCAGAACACCCUUGAAUCUCUACAACCUUCAAAUCAUGGUGAUAAAUGGACAUAUCCUUGGGGUGCAUCUUACUCAUCGAUCAAGAUGUACAAGGAACUGACAAAGGGACCACUAGUUGCACCACUUUUUCAAAAAUUAUGGAAGAAUGCAACCAUGCUUCGGUACAAGAUCUUCUUUUGGCUCUUAUUGCAUGACAGGGUCAAUACUAGAAACAUGCUUCAACGAAGAUCAUUCCACCUGCCUUCCUAUAAUUGUGCACUUUGUCAGAUGAACACGGAGGAAACUUCUCAACACUUUUUUUGGGACUGUGACUUUGCUUUCAAUUGCUGGCAAUCCCUUUUGGGACACAGACACAGAGGAUUGUCCAUCUUUGAUGAGAUCUCACUGGCCAUUCAAAACUUGCCUACUGCCUUUGCCAUGGAAAUCAUGAUUAUGGAAUGUUGGAACAUCUGGAUACAAAGAAAUGAUCAAAUUUUCAAAGGAAAACCAGCCACAACUCAAGCUUGGAAGGCCUCACUCAAGACAGAUCUUCAGCUUCUGUUACACAGACUGAAAACUAUAUUCAGAGAUCAAUUUUCUAGCUGGAUUGAACAACAUUUGACAUAA